rnacentral:tRNA from 1 species
GCUUUCGUGGUGUAGUGUCAGCACGUUCGACUCAUUUUCGAGAGGUCCGUGGUUCGAGUCCCGGGGAAGGCU